CACACUGGUACAACUUUCUUUCCAAGUAUGUAGUUCAAGUUGGGCUUGUUGAUGAAUAAAAUGUAAUAAAACAGUCCAUGAGAGUCAGAUUCCCAAGUUUUCAUAGUCUCAAUACUGACUACAGAAGAGCGGCUCUCUCAGAUGUAAAACUCCACUUGGCUACUAAUUUCAUUGCCAUGGCACUAACUUAUGACCCAGACCUUAGCACUAAGCCUAAAUAAUUCACCCUGGAACCUAAAUCCUAAACAUGUAACUUGGGACAUAGGGUAGAAAAGAGUCUCCAAAAUAUAGAAGUCUGGGAUUUGCCCAUUUUCCUAACCCUGCACAAGGUUCCAUCUUCUGCAGAAUGGAUUGGAUUGCAGCACACUGUGUUUUCCUGGAGAAUUAAUCUGGUAAAGAGGUGAGACAGCAAAGGGUCCUGGAGCAGACCUGAAUGAGGCACUUUGCUGUACUUCCAAAGGCCAACACUGCACCACAAAUGCCCACUGGCCAGCAUUAUGCUCCAGCCAGGUGCCCCAUUCACUUGAUGGCCUGUGCUCCAAAAGGCACUGCCAUUUCUGAGCUUAUUGACCAACAUUAGCUGUCAUGGCUACAGGUUGCUGGACAGCCCAGUUAAUCUUUAAAGAUAUGUCUUCUUCGAUUGCAUGCUAUAACAUUAUUCUUGCAAGUGCCAUUUUCUGAAGGACUUCUGGAGCAAUAGAAAAGCCAUAAAUUGCUUUCCAUUGCUGGGAAAAAUCAUACAUCUGUUUAAGUAUACAAGCAUCUUCAGAGGGCUAUUUGUGAUUGCAGCGAUUUUAGACUCAAUAGAGCCACGUAAUAAAGCAAACUGUCUCUAAGCAUUCGAGUGUCCUCUCUCUGUAGUUGGUGGCACACAGAUGAAGGUAAAGACACCUUGGAGAGGAAAACAUGUUUCUCCCAGAGAAGCAGAACAGAGAAUGUGAAGUGUUAAAGGACCCAGAAAAGGGAUAAUGAUUAGAAUUUCAGGAUGUCUGUGGAUAACAUGGAAGAAAGGGCUUAAGGAGAUUGCUGAAACUGAGGGCCGGGCUUGGAUCCUCACUGGGAUGCUCGCAUUCAGCACAUGCCAUGUUAUACUGCAAGGCACACCAUUGACAUGCAGCACACCUCCCGGAACAUCAGGUUUCUCUGAUGAUAAGAAAUAUAAUAAUAAUUAUUAUUUUAAAUUAUUUUAUUGAAGUCAUUUUUGCUUAUAAUAUAAUUAUAAAUUUUAUAUUAAACAGACACAAAUAUAUUAUGAAUAUAUUGAACAACUUUCCUGAAUUUUAAGAUAAAUAAUAUAUAAAGCUUUAAAGAAAUUUCACAUUUGUGUUGCACUGCUUCGAAGGUGGGCUCCCAGGUUCCCAGGGAUAAGCACACUUGCCUUUCAGUCAAGGGCAUUUUGGAAGGAAGGUUUGAGGAGGACCGGCGUAAACAAUGGGGAGCAUGACCUGUUGUCUGUAGAAAGCAUGUGUUAAAUAAUAACUUAAGCUGAAGAAAUUCAAGUAGGGUUUUGCCUCAAGAUACAUUCUGAUGGAACUUUUCUCUAACUGCAUAUAGAAUUGGGAAAAAUACAGGUUUUGAAUUCUUGACCUUAUAUUUAAAAUGUAAUAAAGCUAUUUUACAAUUAACUGGGGAAUUAUUU
rnacentral:lncRNA from 1 species